rnacentral:lncRNA from 1 species
AGUAGAUUAUUUUAAAAGAGAGAAACUAGAAGUUAGGGCAGGGGAUGAGAGUGGAUCAGUAUACACUGUAUAUAAUUCUCAAAAGAACUCAUGAAAGUACAAGCAAAGACCAAAGACCCACAAGUAUAAAUAAGAAGAAGUAAAAGCUAUGUUUCAGUUCCAUCAUGAGAAGAAACACAGACUGAGUUCAGCCUUGAGUUGCAGCAAGUCUGCAAAGAAGGCAAGGAGAGGCUGGCGGAAGCAAACCCACCACCACUUACCAUGAGGCCUGGCUCACAAAGCUCGCAUCAAACAACCAAGUUGAGGAGUGGUCAAGAGAUAGAGAUGUAGGUUGGAGGUAGAGCAUUUCCAAGCUCACACAAGUUCUCAAGUUUUGUGUCAAUAGAGGAAGCUUUAUCUCUUGUGAGCCACCUGAAUACUUUUUCGCUAACCUAACCAAUGAGUAAGCCAGUUGUCCAUUUUUACACACAGUUGAAGUGACAACUCUGGAUAUUAUCGUCGUUGUCGUCAAUGGCUAACUCCUCUCCUAGCUUCUCAGCCAGUUUCUCUCAGCUGGUUUUGGAAUCUGACAGAGCUGACCAGCACUUCCUCAGUGGGCAGCAUUUUCUUAAGAACCUUUCUCCUUUCCACUGCAAACCCCACCAGUGUU